rnacentral:rRNA from 1 species
CUCCCCCAAGAGUCCACAUCGACGGGGAGGUUUGGCACCUCGAUGUCGGCUCAUCGCAUCCUGGGGCUGUAGUCGGUCCCAAGGGUUGGGCUGUUCGCCCAUUAAAGCGGUACGCGAGCUGGGUUCAGAACGUCGUGAGACAGUUCGGUCCCUAUCCGUCGUGGGCGUAGGAAAUUUGAGAGGAGCUGUCCUUAGUACGAGAGGACCGGGAUGGACGCACCGCUGGUGUACCAGUUGUUCUGCCAAGGGCAUAGCUGGGUAGCUAUGUGCGGAAGGGAUAAGUGCUGAAAGCAUCUAAGCAUGAAGCCCCCCUCAAGAUGAGAUUUCCCAUAGCGUAAGCUAGUAAGAUCCCUGAAAGAUGAUCAGGUUGAUAGGUUCGAGGUGGAAGCAUGGUGACAUGUGGAGCUGACGAAUACUAAUAGAUCGAGGACUUAACCAUAUAA